CAAAUUAAGUAUUUUUUCCAUGUUGAAGUUUAUUGAAAUGAAUGGUUAAAAGUUUCUACCUGAAAGUUAUUUUAGUGUAAACUACUCCGUGCCUGUCUGGUUAUCUAUUCCCAAUAUUCAUGUGAACAAAUCUCUGUGUGGGAUCAAUGAUCAUAAGAAUUUUUUUUCUUUCAUGCUUCUGUGCAUCUGUCGAAAGUUUCAAUAAAUUUUUUGCUAUUAGAGCUCAUGACUUAAAAGCUUUUAAAUUCUAUUGGAAUGAAAAAUGCCAUUGACAACCUUGAGCAGUCUAAUGUGUUAUGAUCACCAUACAGGCAUCCUUUUUUAUGCAUGUGUCCAAUUUGUUAAAAUUUUUGUCUUGCAGAAGUUCUAUUGUUAUCAUUGUUUAUUUGUUUGGCGAUGUGCUUAUGAUUGUUGAAACUAAAAUCACAAUGUUAACCAGGAUAAAUAAUCUAUUUGAUGUCGGGAGAAAGGCUUCUUCCUACCACAAGUCAAUUGGCAUUUCAUGCUUCACGGAUUCCAGUGUCUCCAGACAAACGUGAGAGUUGGACCAGACAGUGAAAGAUAUCUGAAUUACAGUUAGGAAAGAUAUGUCACUGAACUAGUGAAGAUUAUUUUUCCUAUUUUCACACAUCCCUAUAUAUUCUAGUGUCUUCCAUUACUCAAGUAAGAAGAAGAAUUCAGUUUACUUCUUCUAAACUUAUAAUAUCCAUUGAAGUUCUCAUAUAUGAAUUGUACUAUGCGGCAAUUAGGCAAUGUGGCAAAUCCUUCCGUUACCAAUAUUGUAAAGAAUUUUUAUGCAUCCGUGAAAUAAAAUCACAGUAACUUCCCAGAAAAUGCAGCCCUAUGAAAUGAGUGUUUCUUCCCAUUGUUGAAUCAGAUUAUGCAAAUACAAUGCUAAAUUGUAUAGAUUGAAACUCAUCGAUGGUUGUUAGUCAAUGUUGUUAUUUGUUAGGUUUUGUUCUUUAAUCAUGUUAGUAUCAUACAGUGUUAUUAUGCACAUUAUUAGAAUAUCUCUAGAGAACCAUAGUGGUCUAUCCAAACUCAUAUCAAACAUGUUGAUUUAUGAAAUAUACUGUGAUUUUUUUUCCUGUUUUCUUUGUAAGCAGUGUCCUGAUUUCAUUCUCUUGUAAGUUUUUUAUUUUUAAAUUAAUUUCUGAAUCCAUGUAUGAUUAGAUACUAAAAACCACUUGAGCAUAAGAGCUCCUUGUUGUAAUUCGACCCGUGGAAGGGUUUUUAAUGAUCUUCAUUGUUUUGCUAUUCAUUUACAUUUUUCUCUUAUAUGUUUCAAUAUUAUGACAGAUUUAUGAUAAUUAAUUAUCACGAAAGAAGAGGACAAGUGACUAGCAAUUUCAGCAAAUAGCCUUAUCUUAGGAAGCACUGCCUUCAGAUUUAAGAGAGAUACAUUGACUCCAGAACUGGUGGGGGGCUUCCAUUUGUUUGAUUGGUUCACAAGGACACUUGAGGUUUUUCUUGUUCUUCUUUCAAGAGAAAGAGGAUAAAAGAAUGGGCACAAUCAGUUGAUCCCAAAUUCUUCUCUCCCAUCCAAGCCGGUAGUGUUACCCUCUAAGGGAUGUACUAUUAUAUUCUCUCUUUGAAGUCUACUCAUUGACUUUUGAUAUUGUAAAGUUAAUGGUCAAAAACCAAAAUUGUAAAUAUGAUUAAUUGCAAAAAACUUCCUUUCAUACAAAAAUUAUACAAUUUAUCAGUGGCCUCUUGAUCUA